ACCACCCUCUGCUUCUUUGGUGCUGGCAGUGAUUGGCCGUGGCCAUGAUGUCAUCGCCUAAUCCAAACAGAAGGGGGGUUGGUGCUGGCUGGCGUCCCCAUGCUGAGUGCAGCAGUAAAUUUCAUUUCAAGGCUAUGAUUAGGACGGUGCCCAAGAAUUUCCUUUCUCUCUCCUUCCCUCUCCCCAUCCUAUUUUUCUUCCUGUUCUCCUGCCUCUCCUUCCCUCCCCUCCUCUCCCCUGGCCCCCUCUUCUCCGGGAUGCUGAAGGUUCGCCCGGUGACCAGCACCGGUCCAGGCUCUUGCCGCCUUCCGUGAGGCUCCAUGACCAGCCCUGGCAUGUACGGGCUCGGUCCCAGCCCCGAGACGGCACCCAGGGAGUACGGGGUGAGAAUCCCUAGGGGCGCUCAUUCAACCUUGAGCUGAAACGCCAGAACAACAGAGAGAGCAGGGGUGGGGUGGCCCUGGUCAUCAACGAAAAGAUCGGAAGACAGCAGAGCCGUGAGAGGCAAGGAGAAACGCAGCUCCUUAGAAAGUUAUGGCUCAUUUGUUCGUUCAUCGAUUCAGUAAGGAUGUGUUGGGCACCCGCCAUCUGCCAGGCCUGUGCAGGUGCCGGGCGCCCAGAGGGAACAGACGUGGCCCGGUUCUUCCUCCAGCAGCAACCAGCCGUUAGCAGAAACGCGGACAGAAACAAGUACAAGCAGCAUACUCACAUGGAGGGAGAGCCACCCAUCCCCAGCUUCCAGAACCAUCAGCUCAUCAGCACCGGCCCCAGUGGGAUCUUCUGAAGCAAAUCCCAGAUGUUGUAGUUCCUGGCCAUAUGCCCAAUCAGGGUCCACUGAACUAGGCUGCCCAGUGACUUCUGCUUGUGACCCAGAAGGCCUCUCUGCCCUGAACCCCCUCCCUUGGACACCAGGGUGGGAGGAGACCCGGGAAAGCACUUUCUUCAAGAGCUCAAGGCCCUUGGGAAUGAGCAGAAAAAGGGGCUUUCCAGCCAGAGGGAGGGACAAGAGGAGGACGCCCUCCUCCUGGAGGCGGGUGAGGAAGGCUCUUCCCACCUGGGGCAGCCCAGGUGCCUUAGUGUAACCGUCUGGAUCUUUGGGGUUUAGGGAAUAAACAUCCAGGUGGGAUGUUUAGCCAAAGUGGUCUUUAUUGGAAGGAAGCAGAGAACGUGGUGAGACUGACAGGUGCAGCUGUGCAUCCGGGACCUGAGAGCCCCCAGGGCUCCUUCCCCCUUCCUCCUCUUGCUCCCCUGGGUGACUCAGCUCGGCCCCUCGCCUCUCCCUGGCUCUCCUGGUCCGGCUGCUCCCCUACAACCUGCCGGCCCUUUGGUUCAAAGCCUGUCAUCCAGUUCAUUCUCUGCUAGGGCUCCAUUCUUAUCAGCGUGGAUCUGACCGGCCAGCCAGGGUCAGGCAGCUGGACAGGGCCUAGAUCUGAAGGACAGGCCUGCUCAGAAGGGGAGUGGGAGCAGCCCCUCCAAGAGGGAGGGAAGGCAGGGCCCCCACAAGGAGACACUCGGGCGGGGAGGGGGACAUGAGGCCCUUGACUCCCUGCCUGGGAGGCCCUCAUACCCUUGAACCCUGUGGCAGAGGGAGAAGGCAUUCAGGGGGUGGGCCUCUGGAAGGCCAGACGCCAACCCCCUGGCAUGGUGGCCUGGGAGAGGUUUGGUCUGCCAGAAGGGCGCCAUGGGGCCUUGGGACGUCUCAGAACCUGAUGGGGGAGAGAACCUUACUCAAGCUGGAUGAGGUCCAAACCCUGGCCUUGCCCGUGGCCACAGCCCCUGGGGCAGCUGUGGAGGCCAGCAGCUGGCCCAGGCUCGGACGUCGCCUGAAAGGCAUGUCCGGGGCUGCUACUCCCUAAUCGGCUGCCAAAGAAAAUAUUUUCUGCAGGUUCCUUGUGAGCCGAGAAUGAAAACACAGCACCCAGCAGG